CCCGAAGUAUCCUGAAUCUUUCGCAUUGUUAAUCAUACAAGUGCAUAUAAUAAACAUAAAAAUCAAUGAUAAUCAUGCCAUUAUAUAAUUCCGAAAAAUUAACGCACUGUAUUCUUAUAAAUCUAUCAGCACUUUAUCAAAUUUACAACUUUUAUUUCAUGUUAAAACGCAAGCAUUUUAAUUGAAAUAAACAAUAUGCCAUAAUUUUAUGAUAAAUUAAUAUGCUAAUAGAUUACAAUGUCCUUAUAUGGAAAAAAUGCACACUAUUAUUAUAAUAUUGUUUAAAUAUUACAAUUCUAAUGAUGAAUUUUCCAUAAUGGAUAUUCAGGUUCAUCGGGC
rnacentral:rRNA from 1 species